AUCAACUUUCGAUGGUAGGAUAGAGGCCUACCAUGGUGGUAACGGGUAACGGGGUGUUAGGGCACGACACCGGAGAGGGAGCCUGAGAAACGGCUACCACAUCCAAGGAUGGCAGCAGGCGCGCAAAUUACCCAAUCCCGACACGGGGAGGUAGUGACAAUAAAUAACAAUACGGGGUUCUUUUGGAUUUCGUAAUUGGAAUGAGUACAAUUUAAAUCUCUUAACGAGGAACAAUUGGAGGGCAAGUCUGGUGCCAGCAGCCGCGGUAAUUCCAGCUCCAAUAGCGUAUAUUAAAGUUGUUGCAGUUAAAAAGCUCGUAGUUGAAUUUCGGAAUCUGUCCGUCGGUCGGGCUUCACUGUCCGUACUGGUGUGGUGGGUUCUUACCUUCUGAAUAACCAGCAUGCCAUUCACUUGGUGCGUUGGGGAAGCAGGACUAUUACCUUGAAAAAAUUAGAGUGCUCAAAGCAGGCCAGUGCCUGAAUACAUUAGCAUGGAAUAAUAAAAUAGGACGGCAUGGUUCUAUUUUGUUGGUUUCUAGGAUCACCGUAAUGAUUAAUAGGGAUAGUUGGGGGCAUUAGUAUUCAAUUGUCAGAGGUGAAAUUCUUGGAUUUAUUGAAGACUAACUACUGCGAAAGCAUUUGCCAAGGAUGUUUUCAUUAAUCAAGAACGAAAGUUAGGGGAUCGAAGACGAUCAGAUACCGUCGUAGUCUUAACCAUAAACUAUGCCGACUAGGGAUCGGAUGAUGUUAAUUUUUUAAUGACUCAUUCGGCGCCUUACGGGAAACCAAAGUGUUUGGGUUC
rnacentral:rRNA from 1 species